UACGGAGGGUGCAAGCGUUAUCCGGAUUCACUGGGCUUAAAGGGUGCGUAGGUGGUUUUGUAAGUCAGUGGUGAAAGCCCGGAGCUCAACUCCGGAACUGCCAUUGAUACUGCUUAACUUGAAUCAAGUAGAGGUGGAUGGAAUAAUACAUGUAGCGGUGAAAUGCUUAGAUAUGUAGUAGAACACCGAUUGCGAAGGCAGUUCACUAUGCUUGUAUUGACACUGAGGCACGAAAGCGUGGGGAUCAAACAGG
rnacentral:rRNA from 1 species